rnacentral:rRNA from 1 species
CACGUAGGGCGCAAGCGUUGUCCGGAAUUAUUGGGCGUAAAGAGCUCGUAGGCGGUCUGUUGCGUCUGCUGUGAAAACCCGGGGCUUAACCCCUGGCUUGCAGUGGAUACGGACAGACUAGAGGUAGGUAGGGGAGAAUGGAAUUCCCGGUGUAGCGGUGAAAUGCGCAGAUAUCGGGAGGAACACCGGUGGCGAAGGCGGUUCUCUGGGCCUUACCCUGACGCUGAGGAGCGAAAGCGUGGGGAGCGAACAGG